UGAGAUAUAUUGUGAUGAUCUCUAUCACAAUAUCAUCAAAACUCUUUUUGAUAGAUUGGAAUAAUUUCAGCUCUACCUUUUGAAGGUCAUCGAUCAUCAAGAUGAUGCCCGAUGAGUUUCAUAAUCCAUCAGUGAUAUCUAGUAGUAUGUAGUGAUAAUUUAGUAGAAUAAAAAUGUGAACCUCUAGGUGCAGUUAUCGUAUGAUUUAAUCCUUCUAUCAUGAGUCCCG
rnacentral:lncRNA from 1 species